UACAGAGGGUGCGAGCGUUGUUCGGAAUUAUUGGGCGUAAAGGGCGCGUAGGCGGCCACGCACGUCCGUUGUGAAAUCGCCCGGCUCAACUGGGCGGGGUCAGCGGAUACGGUGUGGCUCGAGCAAGCUAGGGGGCAAUGGAAUUCCCGGUGUAGUGGUGGAAUGCGUAGAUAUCGGGAGGAACACCAGUGGCGAAGGCGGUUGCCUGGAGCUUUGCUGACGCUGAGGCGCGAAAGCGUGGGGAGCGAUCCGGG
rnacentral:rRNA from 1 species